rnacentral:rRNA from 1 species
GACAGAGGAUGCAAGCGUUAUCCGGAAUGAUUGGGCGUAAAGCGUCUGUAGGUGGCUUUUUAAGUCCGCCGUCAAAUCCCAGGGCUCAACCCUGGACAGGCGGUGGAAACUACCAAGCUGGAGUACGGUAGGGGCAGAGGGAAUUUCCGGUGGAGCGGUGAAAUGCGCAGAUAUCAGGAGGAACACCGGUGGCGAAGGCGGUUCUCUGGGCAUGUCCUGACGCUGGGGAGCGAAAGUGUGGGGAGCGAACAGG